rnacentral:tRNA from 1 species
GCCCAGGUGGUGAAAUGGUAGACACGAGGGACUUAAAAUCCCUUACCGCAAGGUGUGCCGGUUCGAUCCCGGCCCUGGGCACCA